rnacentral:lncRNA from 1 species
ACUUAUCUGCUUAGCGAAGGAAUCGUUGUGGCGUGUUGUGUUGUUGGCGUCAAUGUGGUCCGCGUACACUUGCGCUGUGCAAUAUGGCGUCGUCCAGCGUCAGCGCGGACGCGUGCGCAGUAAUGUCGUCGUUCAGCGUCGACGUGGCUCGACGUGCGUUGCGAAAUAUGGCGUCGUUCAACGUCGGCGCAAACCGCAUGCACGGCAAUGUCGUUUAGCGUCGAUGUGGACCGGGGUACGUUGCGAGAACCGAUCAGAUUGAUUCUGGUGCUCCUCACUUCGCGUUUGUGGGGAGAGAGGCAGCGUUCUUUGAUCGUAAAUUUUCCAGAAGGUUGUGGCUUCUAGAUGUUUCUUCUGCGUGUAUCGAGUCUUAUUCAGCUCACUGUUGAAUCCGGCUCGAAGGACCAAUUGUUUAUGAUUGCAGUAAGCUCUCAAAUGAAAAGGUCGUGAACUGCUUCGACUUAACACGUUUUAUUUUGCAACUUAAUACAAGGGUUGUUUGCACUGUGGCAUGGACCGAUGCUCUCCCGAUCGCUGUAAGAUUAUUACUAAACCCCUCUCUUAUUCUUCAGGGCCUACUCCUUCAACGCUUGAAGCGCCACACAUUCUCGUGGUCACAGCGUAAAUCAUAAAGUCUGACUGACCGGUACGAGUGAUUUCGCAGAUGAAAUGGUACAAUAAUUACAAAAUUAGAAGAACAAAAGUUCGAAAUAGCGUCAAGUUCGUAAAAGUUGAGCAAAAAAUCUGAAUUUUUGAUAUGAUGUAGCUCAAAGUAUUGACUUGACUCCUGCAAAGUCUCCCCGCUGUGGAUUCAGUAGUUUCGAAGUUACGCUUCUCGAAGCAACUUCCUGUCAAAAACCAAAAGUGCAAGGUUGCAGUUUGGAAAGUAGAGGGCAAUCUGAUGCGGAAAACGGCCCAGAAAAAUUCGAAAAUGGGCUAAAUCGGUUCUGAAACGAAAAGGGCAAUCAGGAAUAAAAAGAACUGAGAGUCAGCUGAAAGAGGCACGAAAAAAAGAUGCACAUGGAAAAAAUCUAAGAAGGAAAUUAAAACUAACACAAAGAGAGGAUAAAAAUAAGACGACAAGAGAGAAAACAAGGAUUUUUUAUUCCCAAAUGCAAUUCGUGCCCUGAAGUGACCAUUGGGUAGACUGGCGCAACCGCGACUCACUGUUUUUGUUGUCCGACCAAAGGGGCAGCAGGUAGAAAUUGAAAGGGAUAGGUUUCGUGCGUGAUCAAGAAGGAGUCCUAGAGACCUCUACUGUUUUCAUUGUAAAUGGGAAAAAGAAUAAACUAUUUAUUACAAAUACACGGUGUGAAUCAUUCCAUCGCUUUACCGGAUUAUUGGUAGCGAUCCCUACAGUACUCUAGCAAAUACGGGUACAAAACCCAGUAAACACAGAAUAUAGCAGCAACAUUGUGACAAUGUUAUAACAUUGUAACAACAUUACAGUAAUAUUACAAAAUGGCCACAAUGUUGUUGCAAUGUUUUGUGUUUGCUAGGAAUUUGUGUGCGCGCGCGUGCGCGUGUGCGUGCGCGUGCGUGCGUGUGUGCGUGCGUGCAUGCGUGUGGAAAGAGGAAGUAGAGAAAAAACUUUCAUAAGAAUAAAAUUAUAUAAUUUUUUACAUUACAUUAAUAUGAUUAAGGGGAUAAAGGGAUUCAGAAGCAAAAAGAUUCGAUUUUUUUUUAUUGCUUAAAUCGACAGUAUUCUAUCUAGAGAACAUAUUUCUAAGGCCCUAAGUAUGAAUAAGCACUGGAACAGUUCAAAAUGAGCGCCAAAUGCCGGCGUGUCCCGAGCGCUCCCGAACGGUUCGGAGCAGGGCGCUCGGCGCGCACUUUCUACCAUUUUUUUUCGCUUUUGAAUGUUCCCAAAGGCAUAGUAAAGUAUACGUGCACACUUCUAGGUGUUUCUAUAGCAGCUGAGUGUGUAGAUGACUAUAGUUCGACAUAACCUUUAGAAUAUAAUCGUUAGUCGAGCGUGGCGUUGUUUACUUCGUACAGUGUAUUUGAUUUUAUAUAUUUGAAAUAAUGUCUACUUAUCCGAAACAAAGCAGAGCAGCUGCAACACGAUCAGCAAGGUCAAAAAAACGGAAGUUUCGUGGCAAUCAGUUUUCGGAGAGAGGCGACGAGUCUGUUGAAGACAAUGCGACCACACGAAAAAUAUCUACGGCAACAGCUGAAGAUGUAGUCGUCAAAUUAAAUCACUAGUAAGCGUAUUUGCACCAAUUUAAGAGUUUGUUAUAUGCCGUAAUUGCAAGAGAAAUAUUAACUUUUAUGAGACGUGCCCCCGAGGGCUUGGAUUUAAAAUUGCUGCUAGAUGUGUCUGUGGAACGCGCUCGAUUAAUUCAGGAUCAUUAAUAAAUAACGGCUUUAAAAUAAACAAACGUAUUGUGCUUGUCAUGCGACUCCUAGGUGUGGGUUUGCAAGGUCUAAAUUUAUUUUGUAACAUGAUGGAUAUCGGCAAAGGUAUGUGCCAAGACACUUACGAGUCCGUAGUAACUCAUCUGUAUGAUGCGUCGAAAAUUGUGUUUGAUGCUAUGUGUUUACGAGUCGUACAGCAAGAGAAAGAAGAAAACGAUAAGAAGGAAAGGCCGUGUAAUAAUUUUAAAGUGUCAGGAGAUGGCUCUUGAAAAAAGCGAGGCUUUACUUCUUUAUACGGAGUGACAACGUUAAUCGCAUAUUAUACUGGAAAAGUUAUCGAUAUUGUUGUGAAAAGCAGUGUUUGUAAAGCCAGUGCUUGUUGGAAAAAUAAAGAUAGCGAAGAGUACAUCCACUGGUUUGAAGAACACACAAGAAUGAGUGUGCAUUGAAUCACACGGGCAGUGCGGAUAAAAUGGAGGUGGAUGCAAUAAAAGAAAUGUUUUCGGCAUCGGAGGAGAAAUACGGAGUGCUGUAUCUCAAUUAUAUCGGCGAUGGCGACUCAAAAACGUUCAAAGCAAUAUUGGAUUUAAAUCCCUAUGGAGAUGAGUUUCCUGUUGUGAAAAGUGAGUGCGUCAAUCACAUUGAAAAAAGAAUGGGCACUGGACUGCGCAACGUAAAAAAAAAAAGAAAAAAAUCGGCGGUAAGGAAAAAUUGACCGACGGCCUCAUUAAAAAAAUAACUAAGUACUACGGCUUAGCUAUAAUGAGAAAUGUUGACUCUGUAAAAGCCAUGCAAAAUGAUAUAAUGGCAACUUAUUUGCAUAUGAUCUCAACCGAUGAAAAUCCAAAGCACGAAAUUGUCCCGAAGGCGAAGACAGCUGGUGCAAGUAUCGUCGCGUGCAAAGUCUCGGUGAAGAGUACAAACAUCCAGCUCCGUUGCAUAAAGACGUCGCGGAAGCAAUUUUACCGAUUUUCCAAGAUCUUUCCAGAGAAGAUUUACUUGAAAGAUGCCUGGGAGGACAUACGCAAAAUGCAAAUGAAAGCUUCAAUGCGAUGGUGUGGCGGCUCGCACCGAAACAUCUUAAUUCGGGACGAAAAAUUAUAGAAAUAGCAUCUUAUAUUGCUGCUGAAAUUUUUAACGAAGGAUUUUUAUCAGUUUUGCGGAUUAUGGAAUGCAUGGGCUUAGUUAUAGGGUCAGUCUGCAGAAAUUUUUCAAGUCAAAUGGACGAAAAUCGCACGAAUGCCCAGAAGCGUCGCAGUAGGAGCGUUUCACAAAUUAGACGAUUACAUCAAAAACAAAAGCAACUAGAGCAAAAUGAGACAUAUGAAAAGGCUGAGGGCUUAUUGUAUGGACCAGAAAUAGCCGACUAACGGAAAAAACCAUAUGAUUCUACGAGGCGCUAGAAUGCUCGCAGAUUUGAAGAAAUUUUUUUAAGGCGCCUGCGUAUUCCAGCUCUAACUUUUGUAUAUGUCAGCAUAAUUGUUCAUAAAAAUUUAUUCAAACAGUUCAAUAUAUGAACAAUAAGUGGUAAAAAACGCAAAAAGAUUCAUCGAGUAGUUUUUCUAAAAAAAAUUCAUGCAAAAAGGCUUUUUUUGGCCUUCUAAACCCCUUUACCCCCUUAAAAAAACAUGAGGCUCGCGAAAAUGGCGCUGGUGAGUGUGGACAUGUGAGAGUGCACUCCGAAAUAAAAGGAGGAAAAUGGAGUAUUGACGAACUUUGGGGAUGGAGAUAUGGAGAUUCGGAUAGAGGAGGCGAAAAGGCAUUAGAGGAAAUGAAAGGAAGACAGAGGAGUUACGAGGAAAAGAAUUCAAUGUGAAGAAAGAUUCGGAAUGAAACGGAGAUGACGGUGUGGAAAUGAAGUGGAGGUGAGGCUACAGAGAAGAGAAGACGGAGAAGACGCUGGAGUGUGAAGGCAGUACCCAAGAGGAUGAAGGCAGAUGGCACUGAUGGAUGAGUAAGAGGGCCGAGAAAUAGUUGGCAGGACUGAGAGAAGAGACGGCGGUAGCGUGUUUGGGAACCAUAGACUUACUGGAAUGCUUAUGAAAGUAGAGGGGGUAUCCGUCACCGAAAAAAGGAAAACUGUCGUUAAUAUGAGGUUUUAUCUCUUUCUAAUGCAGAAUAAUGGGGAAGCAUAGUGACCAAUAACGGUGUCAGAGCGUGAGCGUGUUGUCAUAGUAUGCAUGUUGUCGAUGUGAGCUUCAUGUGAGAUCGGAUGAUCAAAACGUAUAUUUUGGGGUUGGUGAAUCUAACGUGUGAACAAUUUUAUUUAAACAAUUGAAAUAAUGGUGUUGAGUUGCUGUGUGUGCGAGGUAGAAUAUAAGAAGGACCUUUUUUGCUGCUACGAAGUUACGCCCACUAAAAAAAGAUAGCAACCCAUAUUAACGAUAGUUAUCCUUUUCUCAGUGACGGAUACCCCUACCACCGUUUUUCCACCUCAUAAGCAGUCUAUUCUAGUAAAUCUAUGGCCGGUAUUCAUAAUCGGAUUUUAUAUUUAAGAUCAUUUUAUGUACUGUCUUAAGAUGCCAUCAGCCAAUCACAGAGCCGUAUGAAGAUGAAAAACAGAAGAGUUAAUACGAGGAAAGACGGAAAGGAAAGUUUUUGGCAGGAGAGCGGACGGUAUGGGGGGCAGAUGGCAAAAGUGGAUCGUGCGAUCGUGACGUCGAUGCGUGACGGAAAAAGAGAGAGGGAGGAGCAGGAGGAGAAAGAGAAAAGGAGAGUAGAA